UAAACUCGCGAGGAUUGUACGUAUAAA
rnacentral:piRNA from 1 species